GGUAAGCAGAACUGGCGAUGCGGGAUGA
rnacentral:ncRNA from 3 species